rnacentral:rRNA from 1 species
UACGGGGGGGGCAAGCGUUGUUCGGAAUUACUGGGCGUAAAGGGCUCGUAGGCGGCCAACUAAGUCAGACGUGAAAUCCCUCGGCUUAACCGGGGAACUGCGUCUGAUACUGGAUGGCUCGAGAUUGGGAGAGGGAUGCGGAAUUCCAGGUGUAGCGGUGAAAUGCGUAGAUAUCUGGAGGAACACCGGUGGCGAAGGCGGCAUCCUGGACCGACAUUGACGCUGAUGAGCGAAAGCCAGGGGAGCAAACGGG